CGUAACUCCGAGCAAAAGCAUCUAAGGUCAUGCGCUAUGAUGCUGCGCCUGGGUAAUACCCACAGGGGAGCACAGGAAACCGCGCUCCCUUCCGUUUUGAAAAGGAGGAAAAUAACG
rnacentral:ncRNA from 1 species